rnacentral:lncRNA from 1 species
UUGUUGUUGUAGAUGCUUCUGAAGCGGAACAAAGUCAUCGAAUGCCCUUCCAUAUGAUACAUCCGGUCAAACCAUUUGGCAUUUGAGAAACCAUAAGGGGCCCCACCUCAGCUGUUGGCAGAUUUUCUAACGCCUUGAAGUUUAUCGUCGAAGAGUCCUCAGCCCCCUGGAGCUAACGGAAACUGAAACAGAUUAUGCAAUAAUUCUAUGACACACAUAUUCGACAAACUUGUCUCGAAAUACAGUACUGGGGCAAUUACUGACUUACUGGAUAUGUCAUAUAGUUGUUAUAGAUGCUUUUGA